rnacentral:rRNA from 1 species
UACGGGGGGGGCAAGCGUUGUUCGGAAUUACUGGGCGUAAAGGGCGCGUAGGCGGCGAUCCUAGUCAGAUGUGAAAGUCCUGGGCUUAACCUGGGGACUGCAUUUGAUACUGGAUUGCUUGAAUUCGGGAGAGGAUAGCGGAAUUCCCAGUGUAGAGGUGAAAUUCGUAGAUAUUGGGAAGAACACCGGUGGCGAAGGCGGCUAUCUGGACCGACAUUGACGCUGAGGCGCGAAAGCGUGGGGAGCAAACAGG